rnacentral:rRNA from 1 species
UACGAAGGGGGCUAGCGUUGCUCGGAAUCACUGGGCGUAAAGGGCGCGUAGGCGGUGCGGUAAGUCACCUGUGAAAUCUCCUGGCUCAACUGGGAGCUUGCAGGCGAAACUGCCGUGCUGGAGUGUGGGAGAGGUGCGUGGAAUUCCUGGUGUAGCGGUGAAAUGCGUAGAUAUCAGGAGGAACACCUGUGGCGAAAGCGGCGCACUGGACCACAACUGACGCUGAGGCGCGAAAGCUAGGGGAGCAAACAGG